UACCAGCAGGCCAAGGCCCAGAAUUCAGCCACCCUGCCCAGUAGCACAGCCAUGCUCCCUCCUCUCGACAAUGUCAGAUGAAGGCUGGAGGGCAGGACUCAAGCCUAACUAGUUGUCCUGCACCUGGAGCAGGUUAUAGCCCACAGUAAGUACCUGGCUCCACACCCAUCAUCCAGAGGAAUAGCUUGCAGGGAUGCAGGCAGGUGGGUAAGUUGGCUGGGCCAGGACCCUGCCCUCCAGGAGGAGCUGGUUCUGACCUCUAUGUCUAGUCUUCCGAGGCUGGUUGGCCAGCACCAGCUCCGAGCACUGGAGUUCUGCACUGCAGGUCUGGUGACUCUCGCCAUAAGACAGGAGGAGGCACCUGUGGAGGAUGGCCCUGUGCUGAGUCCAGGCUGGAGAUGGAUAGGGGGUGGGGUGGAUGCCCAGGGUCUGGUGCUGGACAGUGUCAUAGAAGGACGGAUUACUUUCCUUCUGCUGGGAACAGUGCUAGGGGUAUCAGCCCCUUUACAAUCCAAUCCAUUCCUUUACCCACCUCAUUCUGCCACCCCCGAACUUGCUAUCAGCAUAACGUCAGCUCUGUGCUAGAUACUAUGGCACACACCAUCUGAAUUAUCCAGUGAUCAGAAUUUCUACUUUAUAGAUGAGAAAACUAAGGUUGAAUGAGUUAUCCAAGUUCCUAGAACUGUUCAGGGGUGGAACUAGGAGUUUAAACCAGCCUUUUCUGAUGCCACAGACCAGCACUAGCCACUUAGCCACACUGCCUCCCUUGCCAAGUGGAGUCUCAGGGAGCGGAAUGAAGUUGACAGUGUUCCCUAUGCUUCAAGAGCUGGUGGAGGGGCCUAUCAGAGGCCACAGCAAACCAGGACUCCACCUUCCAGAACUUACACUCAGACACCCCACAGCCUAGGGCCUGGGCUUUAGGGCUACCCCAAACCAAGGUAAGUGGGCCAGGAUAGUCUAGAGAUGAGAGGGUAGUACUUACCAUGCACAUGGCCUUGUGUUGGGGGCGGGGUCUCACUCCUCACCAAAUCCCUCCCCAGGAAACUCCUUUAUGCUGGUUCUAUAGG
rnacentral:lncRNA from 1 species